rnacentral:rRNA from 1 species
UUGCUGCUUUGCUGACGAGUGGCGGACGGGUGAGUAAUGUCUGGGAAACUGCCUGAUGGAGGGGGAUAACUACUGGAAACGGUGGCUAAUACCGCAUAACGUCGCAAGACCAAAGAGGGGGACCUUCGGGCCUCUUGCCAUCAGAUGUGCCCAGAUGGGAUUAGCUUGUUGGUGAGGUAACGGCUCACCAAGGCGACGAUCCCUAGCUGGUCUGAGAGGAUGACCAGCCACACUGGAACUGAGACACGGUCCAGACUCCUACGGGAGGCAGCAGUGGGGAAUAUUGCACAAUGGGCGCAAGCCUGAUGCAGCCAUGCCGCGUGUAUGAAGAAGGCCUUCGGGUUGUAAAGUACUUUCAGCGGGGAGGAAGGUGUUGUGGUUAAUAACCGCAGCAAUUGACGUUACCCGCAGAAGAAGCACCGGCUAACUCCGUGCCAGCAGCCGCGGUAAUACGGAGGGUGCAAGCGUUAAUCGGAAUUACUGGGCGUAAAGCGCACGCAGGCGGUCUGUCAAGUCGGAUGUGAAAUCCCCGGGCUCAACCUGGGAACUGCAUUCGAAACUGGCAGGCUUGAGUCUUGUAGAGGGGGGUAGAAUUCCAGGUGUAGCGGUGAAAUGCGUAGAGAUCUGGAGGAAUACCGGUGGCGAAGGCGGCCCCCUGGACAAAGACUGACGCUCAGGUGCGAAAGCGUGGGGAGCAAACAGGAUUAGAUACCCUGGUAGUCCACGCCGUAAACGAUGUCUACUUGGAGGUUGUGCCCUUGAGGCGUGGCUUCCGGAGCUAACGCGUUAAGUAGACCGCCUGGGGAGUACGGCCGCAAGGUUAAAACUCAAAUGAAUUGACGGGGGCCCGCACAAGCGGUGGAGCAUGUGGUUUAAUUCGAUGCAACGCGAAGAACCUUACCUGGUCUUGACAUCCACAGAACUUUCCAGAGAUGGAUUGGUGCCUUCGGGAACUGUGAGACAGGUGCUGCAUGGCUGUCGUCAGCUCGUGUUGUGAAAUGUUGGGUUAAGUCCCGCAACGAGCGCAACCCUUAUCCUUUGUUGCCAGCGGUCCGGCCGGGAACUCAAAGGAGACUGCCAGUGAUAAACUGGAGGAAGGUGGGGAUGACGUCAAGUCAUCAUGGCCUUACGACCAGGGCUACACACGUGCUACAAUGGCGCAUACAAAGAGAAGCGACCUCGCGAGAGCAAGCGGACCUCAUAAAGUGCGUCGUAGUCCGGAUUGGAGUCUGCAACUCGACUCCAUGAAGUCGGAAUCGCUAGUAAUCGUGGAUCAGAAUGCCACGGUGAAUACGUUCC